AUUGAACGCUGGCGGCAUGCCUUACACAUGCAAGUCGAACGGCAGCGGACCUUCGGGUGCCGGCGAGUGGCGAACGGGUGAGUAAUAUAUCGGAACGUACCUUUCAGUGGGGGAUAACGUAGCGAAAGUUACGCUAAUACCGCAUAUUCUGUGAGCAGGAAAGCAGGGGAUCGCAAGACCUUGCGCUGAUUGAGCGGCCGAUAUCAGAUUAGCUAGUUGGUGAGGUAGAGGCUCACCAAGGCGACGAUCUGUAGCGGGUCUGAGAGGAUGAUCCGCCACACUGGAACUGAGACACGGUCCAGACUCCUACGGGAGGCAGCAGUGGGGAAUUUUGGACAAUGGGCGCAAGCCUGAUCCAGCCAUGCCGCGUGAGUGAAGAAGGCCUCGGUUGUAAGC
rnacentral:rRNA from 1 species